CUCACCUUGGCAGCUCAGGUGCGAGUGCAGCUGUCUAUCAACUCGAGCAUGCCAUGUUGAGACACGACAGAUGACACACCCACGGGAGGUGCACCCCCCCCUUUCCUGUGCUUGUCUUUCACGCCAUCCAGAAAUUAUCUAUGAGGUGCAAAAAAGACCUGAGGCACCUCACUUCAGGAAGAACCGAAUAGAUCCAGGAAGUGUUUUCAUUUUGGAUGGACCAAAAAAACAACCUGAUCUCUUUGGGAGUCUUCAAAAGCAAGAUGUGCCGUUUAGCCAGGGGGCACUUAGCUCACCGUGCCUGAUGUAGGAAUGAUAUCUGACUGGUUGGAGCAGCAGGCAAGCCAAAAUGUACAGGGAGUCAACCUUGGAUGCAUGACAGGACAAUUAAAGUGCUUUGUUUAAGCUUGCACAAAGGACAGAGCAGCCUCAUUUAUUUUUAGGGCUAGGCCAUCGAUCCCAUGCUAGACUUUAAAUGGCAUGAUGAAAGUUUGAAGAUAAUAAGACCAUGUUCUUUUAAAUUAUUCAACCUUUUAGGACUACAGAUUGACAAGAUUUGUACCACUGCAAAAAAAACCAAAUGAUAGUUGUAGACAUUUUAAUUUUUUUUUGUCUGUCGUGGAAACCGGUCGAACGUAAUGUUCCAAAAAAAACUUUUUAUCCAAGAGAAAAUGUUGCAAACGGCACAAUCCAUCAAAUUUGUGCCUUUUGCAUUUCCAGGAAAUUAAAUGUAAACUGUAAAAACUGUUUUAUUAUUAUUAUUACUCAGGAAAUAUCCAUGUUGAUCUGGCUUCAUAUUAAAAAAACAAUUAAGAAAUGUAUAUAAACUACAUUGAACACUGAAAAAGGAGAAUUUGUUGCCUGCCCCCAUAUACAAAACCACCAUGAAAUAUCAUUACAUUUUGACAGAAAUGAGGAACACGUCUUCAUUCCAUGACUGUCUGCCAACAACUGUGGCUAGAGACAAUUCAUCAAAUCAACAAAAAGCAGGACAUCACAAAGACAAACAUAUCACCCCAGCUUUAACUGUAGGCCUGCAUGGUGAGAGGCCUUGUACUGAGGUCCGCCACAACAUAAAUUUAGGUGAAAGGCCUCGUACUGAGGUCUACCACGACAUAAAUCUACGUAU